AUUGAACGCUGGCGGCAGGCCUAACACAUGCAAGUCGAACGAGUGGCGGACGGGUGAGUAAUGUCUGGGAAACUGCCUGAUGGAGGGGGAUAACUACUGGAAACGGUAGCUAAUACCGCAUACCAUCGGAUGUGCCCAGAUGGGAUUAGCGAGUAGGUGGGGUAAAGGCUCACCGAGGCGACGAUCCCUAGCUGGGCUGAGAGGAUGACGAGCCACACUGGAACUGAGAUACGGUCCAGAAUCCUACGUGAGGCAGCAGUGUGGUAUUUUGCACAAUGGGCGCACGCCUGAUGCAGCCACGCCGCGUGUAUGAAGAAGGCCUUCGGGUUGUAAAGUACUUUCAGCGGGGAGGCGUUACCCGCAGAAGAAGCACCGGCUAACUCCGUGCCAGCAGCCGCGGUAAUAC
rnacentral:rRNA from 1 species